GAUGAACGCUGGCGGCGUGCCUAAUACAUGCAAGUAGAGCGCAGGGACGUGAAGCUUGCUCCGCGGGUGUUAGUGGCGGACGGGUGAGUAACACGUGGAUAACCUACCUAUAAGAGUGGGAUAACUUCGGGAAACGGGAGCUAAUACCGCAUAAGAUUAGAAAUUGCAUGAUAUUUGAUUAAAAGGCGGUCUUGCUGUCCUUCCUAGAGGACCCCCCGCUUAUUAGGCAAGUGGUUAGGUUAAGGCCUUACCAAGCCAACGAAGCAAGGCCGACCUGAGAGGGGGAUCGGCCACACGGGAACUGAGACACGCUCCAGACUCCUACGGGAGGCAGAAGAAGGGAAUCUUCCGCAAUGGGCGAAGGCCGGACGGAGCAACGCCGCGUGAGUGAGGAAGGUCUUCGGAUCGUAAGACUCUUUUAUUAGGGAAGAACAGAGUUGUAAGUGAAAGUGCACAUCGUGACGGUACCUAACCAGAAAGCCACGGCUAACUACGUG
rnacentral:rRNA from 1 species